rnacentral:antisense_RNA from 1 species
UGUGGGAGCUGGCUUGCCUGCGAUAGCGGUGGGUCAUCCAGCUCCUUAGUGACGGGUAGACCGCCAUCGCAGGCAAGCCAGCUCCCACA